rnacentral:rRNA from 1 species
CCUUGGUGCCUUCGGGAACGCUGAGACAGGUGCUGCAUGGCUGUCGUCAGCUCGUGUUGUGAAAUGUUGGGUUAAGUCCCGNAACGAGCGCAACCCUUAUCCUUUGUUGCCAGCGAUUCGGUCGGGAACUCAAAGGAGACUGCCGGUGAUAAACCGGAGGAAGGUGGGGAUGACGUCAAGUCAUCAUGGCCCUUACGAGUAGGGCUACACACGUGCUACAAUGGCGCAUACAAAGAGAAGCGACCUCGCGAGAGCAAGCGGACCUCAUAAAGUGCGUCGUAGUCCGGAUCGGAGUCUGCAACUCGACUCCGUGAAGUCGGAAUCGCUAGUAAUCGUGGAUCAGAAUGCCACGGUGAAUACGUUCCCGGGCCUUGUACACACCGCCCGUCACACCAUGGGAGUGGGUUGCAAAAGAAGUAGGUAGCUUAACCUUCGGGAGGGCGCUUACCACUUUGUGAUUCAUGACUGGGGUGAAGUCGUAACAAGGUAGGCGUAGCGAG